rnacentral:tRNA from 5 species
CGGGGUGUGGCGCAGCCUGGUAGCGCACCUGCUUUGGGAGCAGGGGGUCGGAGGUUCAAAUCCUCUCACCCCGACCA